CAGUCGCGUUCUCUGGGAUUCAGCCUUGCUUCUUGCUUGGUGCAUUUCCUAGUCUACGGGCCAGCAUGAAUCUUGAGCGGUGGAAAAGGGUUUGGGGAAUGUGGCACCUCCGGGUGUGUUAUAGCCCGGAGUGCCAUGCGACCAGCCUGGACUGAGGUCCGCGCAUCUGCUAGGAUGCUGGCGUAAUGGCUGUAAGCGGCCCGUCUUGAAACACGGACCAAGGAGUCUAGCAUAUAUGCGAGUGUU
rnacentral:rRNA from 1 species